GACAGAGGUGCCAAGCGUUAGGCGGAAUCACUGGGCUUAAAGCGUGUGUAGGCGGAUGCCUAAGUACCUUGUGAAAUCCCACGGCUCAACCGUGGAACUGCUUGGUAUACUGGGUGUCUUGAGCCAGCUAGGGGCUACCGGAACAAAUGGUGGAGCGGUGAAAUGCGUAGAUAUCAGGAAGAACACCCGUGGCGAAGGCGGCUCUCUGGGACGGUACUGACGCUGAGACGCGAAAGCGUGGGGAGCAAACAGG
rnacentral:rRNA from 1 species